CUUCCAAAAAGUCACAGGGCCAGGAAGACAAGAGAACCUUGGCUUUCGAAACCCACACUUGUUGGGGUGGCUGUGAAACCCCACUGUGCAUGGGCAGGACCAGCUCUGGGAGUCCCCACUCUGGUGACCUGCUCUCCACACUUGCUGGCUGGAGCAGCUCUGGGCAAUGCUGAGGCAAUGAGCUGACCAGGAUUUGUUCUUCCAAAGACAGAAAACCCCGGGAAAGCAGAUGGCAGAUUCGAGAGCCACAGAGAGGUGAGCCCUUGGGCAGCACCACCACCCCAGGACAACCUGGGCAGAGCUCCAUCUCCAUCCCCUUCCAUUUCCAGCACCCUCGGCAUGGACGGCCUUUAUCCAUCUUCCACGGGCUUGUGCUCAGUGUGGGAGAGACGCUAUUCAUUCUACAGAUAAUGGCACAAAGGCAGGGAUGUGGACAGACCGGAAUGAACUCGAAGAAUGAGGGCGUUGGUGCUGCGGCCCCACAGAGCUCUGCUCCAACAGUGCUACCUUCUUCCACGAGGGAGAACAAAAUAACAUUCAUGGUGGAAUGUCCCCGUGCUUCCACAAAUGGUCCCCUUGCCCUCGGAGGGUGUCGUCUCGGGGACGCGGCUGCCGCCCUCUCCAGCUGAAGCUCUGGAUUCUGCCCAGAUUUGACGUCGGCCCCACAACCCUCUGCUUUGAGCUUCAAGACUUGGGACAAGUGUCUUUGGCUUUCUUGUCCAUGAACUAUGAAGAGUGAGCCUUCCCCUGGCGAGAGAGGAGAGAGGAGGAUAAUGAUGCCCAGACAGCAGCCGGCGCCCACUGGCCCCAGGAAAGGCCCAUCUCCCCGAGGCCGCCCUCGGGUGGUCACGAGCCACUCCGCCCAACAGGCUGGGUCCUGUUAGAGCAGGUUAAAAAAAAUGAAAGUAACUCCAGCAGGAAGAGACUGGGUGAAAACUAGGCAGCCUGAAGCUGAUCACUGACCUCCUGCUUCGUGAAGUCGAUACGGACUCUCUGUUUCCUCUUUGUGCCUUCACCUAAUAGGAAAGUCCCUGCAGGUGUGAGCUGGGACUUACAAAGGAGGUCGGGAGAUAGCAGCCCUGGAAAAAUAAUUCCACCUAUAAACACCUGUGUUAACA
rnacentral:lncRNA from 1 species